rnacentral:rRNA from 1 species
CCCUUAGAUGUUCUGGGCCGCACGCGCGCUACACUGAUGCAUUCAGCGAGUCUAAAACCUGGUCUGAUAGGGCUGGGUAAUCUUUUGAAUGUGCAUCGUGAUUGGGAUAGAUGAUUGCAAUUCUUCAUCUUCAACGAGGAAUGCCUAGUAAACGCAAGUCAUCAGCUUGCAUUGAUUACGUCCCUGCCCUCUGUACACACCGCCCGUCGCUCCUACCGAUUGAAUGUUCCGAUGAAUACCAUGGACUGAGAGUAUGAAUGGGUUCGCCUAUUUCUGCUUCUCGGGAAGUGGAGUAAAUCUUAACAUUUAGAGGAAGGAGAAGUCGUAACA